GCAAUCCCUGACGAGUCACGCAACGCAGCGUUUUGAUGGACCCCAAUUAUAAGGGUGAUGACCUUGUAUUUAGCCUUUGCUGACUACGGCCUGCGUUGACAGGCUUCCGGUUUCCGUUAGAGCCUUUUUCGAUUUCCCGACCUGCUCUCUGCAUUUUCAUAGUCAGAGUUAUGUUUAUGUUUUGUCAAAAGUUCAGGAAUGAGCGUGUGUUAUGGGGCACAUAGAGGGAAUGCCCAAUGGUGUCCAAGCUUUACUCGCACGACUACGAGAGCAGCUACAUUGUAUUUUUGUAUAUCCCAUCAUGCUCUCUGUUUAUAACACAUAUAGAGAUGAGGGCGCAGCUUGGAGUCUGAGUGCAGGGACAGCUAUCCAUCCAGCGCAGAGACGAGGCUACUCUGAUGAGCACGGGAUUCGAACCUGCGACCUUCUGGUCGCAGGCAGAGAGACCUAACUGGCUGAGUCACACACCACCCCCACAUAUGGUGAAGUACAUUCAGCAGUUCUGCUCCAAUCCUCUCCAAGCCACCUGAGAUGCCACCAUUCAGUACGCCAUGGCCCCGAGCUUUUUAAGGAUGUGGACCUGCCGGCCUGGCUGGCGUUACCAUCCCCAGCAGAGAAUGGCCCCAUGAUUCAGCCUGCUGUGAGUGACAGUGACGUGGCCUUCCCCCCCGCAGCCGGCCACAGCCUCGGCCCUCCGUACCGACCACAGGCUGGAAGACCCAUCUACAUUCCAGCGAAGCUGAUCCCCUGACCAUGGACAUUUGCCACAUGAUACUACAUAACUGAGCACAUGACCUUGGCAUUGUUGAGGCGUUGGGGGGGGGGGGGCAACAGGAGCUGGGAGGAGCUCCGAAAGGAUUAUCCAGCAGACAUGCAACUCCCCCCGCCAUGAACAUCGCCGUACCACAAUCAUAGUGCUCCUCACUUCACUCUUCUGCAUGGAUGUACACACUCGCCUUCACGGUCUACACAUGAUAGGGGAGAAACCUAAUGUUAAAUGACAGAUAAAGAUCGUUGUGACAGAUGUUUCCAGAAAAACUCGGUAAAUACAGGCCGGGCCUGCAUGUGUUUCACAUUACUGGGCCAGUUCGCACGAGAGUGAAGGAGUAUGGUCCUUGGAGCGGAGGGAAGAACUUUAAGAAGAUUUCACUGCUCCUCUGACGGUCCUAUACGUACUGCCUUCGCUUAUACGCAAACUGAGGUUAUAUGCCGCCGAGGACUAGGAGGGAAAUAGCCGGCCCAUCUAUUCCCGCCAUUUUCACUCUGGCGAGACGUGACCCAGUGAAGGGGUUCUGAGCGUGGCCCGGCCUGGCCCAGCUGUGGCCCCUCCGCGAUUACCCAGCAGCCUGUGGGCCCUCCGCGUGGCCCCUCCGCGUGGCCCCAGGGGGCGAUCUGCACUGGUUCAGUAAUGGGGUUUGUAGUGGUUCCGGCCAGCUGCUGUGGUCCGCCUUCUCGGGGGCCACCCACCUCAGCGCUGCCUCCGCGCUUCCCGCAGCAGAGGCCGUGACGCUGGGGGGCCCUGGGGGUGAGGGCAGGAAACCGGAGACGGGGGCUCUGCGGCCACAAAGUGCAGGAGUUUCUCAACCCUGCGUGACGACUCUGAAAGAUUGCUUUGGUAGUAAUCCCUGGGCGGUCUCCAAACUCUACUUUAGUAAACGUGCUUUUACGUGGGCCUUUGUACUCCUUGACAGUGACACCUUUCAGUCUGCGCCUGGAACCACAAAGAUGGCGUUUCGCUAAUAUAAUGCCGGGGUGUUUCUCAAUACCAAGAACGCAAAGAUCGUACUUGUGGCCCUGGCAAGACUAGUCUUGCAAACUUGCGUCCCUGGAACGAACUUGGGGCGCAAUGAAUCGGGGGAUUGGUCUCGUUUGGCGAGGAUACAACUAAGGUAUCCUUGAUAUUUAGGGUGGGGCAAGACCAACAUCUGGGGAUUUUUACUGUCCUCUGUACUUCUGUUCUUAGUAUUGGAACUGGUCUUUGGCAAUGGACAAUGAUGUAAAUCAGGUACACGAGAACACAAGUUAGGUGAAGCACGCACAUUGAGAAAUGCCCCUGGCUUACCUUAAAAAGCUAUGACCUACUUUGAAUUGCAUUUGAGUUGUUUGAAUGAUGCUGUAUAAAUAAAGUUUGAUUG